ACACGCUGGCGGCGUGCCUAAUACAUGCAAGUAGAACGCUGAAGGGAGAGCUUGCUCUUCUGGAUGAGUUGCGAACGGGUGAGUAACGCGUAGGUAACCUGCCUGGUAGCGGGGGAUAACUAUUGGAAACGAUAGCUAAUACCGCAUAACAUUGACUAUUGCAUGAUAGUUAAUUGAAAGGUGCAAAUGCACCACUACCAGAUGGACCUGCGUUGUAUUAGCUAGUUGGUGGGGUAACGGCUCACCAAGGCGACGAUACAUAGCCGACCUGAGAGGGUGAUCGGCCACACUGGGACUGAGACACGGCCCAGACUCCUACGGGAGGCAGCAGUAGGGAAUCUUCGGCAAUGGACGGAAGUCUGACCGAGCAACGCCGCGUGAGUGAAGAAGGUUUUCGGAUCGUAAAGCUCUGUUGUAAGAGAAGAACGAGUGUGAGAGUGGAAAAUUCACACUGUGACGGUAUCUUACCAGAAAGGGACGGCUAACUACGUG
rnacentral:rRNA from 1 species